rnacentral:rRNA from 1 species
UACGGAGGGAGCUAGCGUUGUUCGGAAUUACUGGGCGUAAAGCGCACGUAGGCGGCUUUUGUAAGUUAGAGGUGAAAGCCCGGAGCUCAACUCCGGAAUUGCCUUUAAGACUGCAUCGCUUGAAUCCAGGAGAGGUGAGUGGAAUUCCGAGUGUAGAGGUGAAAUUCGUAGAUAUUCGGAAGAACACCAGUGACGAAGGCGGCUCACUGGCCCGUUACUGACGCUGAGGCACGAAAGCGUGGGGAGCAAACAGG